UGCAGAUAGGGCACAAAUAAUUAUCUUAGCAACUGCCAGAGAAAUUUUGCUGUCCAAACUUGCUCUGAAAGAAGUCCGCUUUUAUACAGUCUUGGACAAAGACAAGGCCUUCAUGGUGGUAGAUAUAGGGCAGUGACUUUUUAGUCAGCUAAGUCAUAUGAAAGUCAAAUUACUUGUCAAGAAGAUAACACUUUUUCUGUGUUCUUUUCAGAAACUGCCAUCUAUUAGGCCAUGAAGCACAAGCAACAUCAGAAGAAACUUCCAAAGUAGCCAUGCUCUGAGAGUGUUCUGUCCUGAUCUGAGUAACACUGAAAUGUUAUCUGAGUGUUGGGAGAAACUAUUCAAAAGAAAAAUC
rnacentral:lncRNA from 1 species